CAGUCUUAUAUAAAUCAAGUAAUUUAGUGACGGAUCCAGGUGAAGACAUUCUAAAAUGUAUAGAAACAUGAGUGGCAAUGAGUGGGAGCGCUUAAAUUCUGUCAAUAUUGGUGUAAGUGUAGAAGAAUCACAAGAGUUCUAUCGAACAUGGGCUGAUAGUUACAACAAGGACUGUAAAAAGCUGGGUUAUACAGGCCCUAAGAAAGUUGCAACUCGUGUGUCAGAGCUGAUCUCUGAAUGUGAGCGUGAAAAUAUCCGCAUUCUCGAUGUUGGAGCAGGUACAUGACUAGUAGCUAUUGAACUGAAGAAACUUGGUUU
rnacentral:lncRNA from 1 species